rnacentral:rRNA from 1 species
CCUACGAGAGGCAGCAGUGGGGAAUAUUGCACAAUGGGCGAAAGCCUGAUGCAGCCAAGCCGCGUGAGCGAUGAAGGCCUUCGGGUCGUAAAGCUCUGUCCUCAAGGGAGAUAAUUACGGCACUUGAGGAGGAAGCACCGGCUAAGUAAGUGCCAGCAGCCGAGGUAAUACGUAGGGGGCUGGCGUUAUACGGAAUUACUGGGCGUAAAGGGUGCGUAGGUGGUUUAUUAAGUCAGAGGUGAAAGGCUACGGUUCAACCGUAGUAAGCCUUUGAAACUGGGGAACUUGAGUGCGGGAGAGGAGAGUGGAAUUCCUAGUGUAGCGGUGAAAUGCGUAGAUAUUAGGAGGAACACCAGUUGCGAAGGCGGCUCUCUGGACUGUAACUGACACUGAGGCACGAAAGCGUGGGGAGCAAACAGGAUUAGAUACCCCUGUAGUC